AUUGAACGCUGGCGGAAUGCUUUACACAUGCAAGUCGAACGGCAGCACGGACUUCGGUCUGGUGGCGAGUGGCGAACGGGUGAGUAAUGUAUCGGAACGUGCCCAGUCGUGGGGGAUAACGUAGUGAAAAUUACGCUAAUACCGCAUACGAUCUAUGGAUGAAAGCGGGGGAUCGCAAGACCUCGCGCGAUUGGAGUGGCCGAUAGCAGCUUAGGUAGUUGGUGGGGUAAAGGCCCACCAAGCCAACGAUCUGUAGCUGGUCUGAGAGGACGACCAGCCACACUGGAACUGAGACACGGUCCAGACUCCUACGGGAGGCAGCAGUGGGGAAUUUUGGACAAUGGGCGAAAGCCUGAUCCAGCCAUUCCGCGUGCAGGAUGAAGGCCCUCGGGUUGUAAACUGCUUUUGUACAGAACGAAAAGGUUUCUACUAAUACUAGGAGCUCAUGACGGUACUGUAAGAAUAAGCACCGGCUAACUACGUGCCAGCAGCCGCAGUAA
rnacentral:rRNA from 1 species